rnacentral:sRNA from 1 species
GGCCAUGCUUCCUCCAAGCUAAGUGACUCACCCUUUACCCCAAGGUACAGGACUCAGACUGAUGGCAGAUAGGGACAACCCAUAGCCCUCCAGCUUGCUCUGAGGUAGAUAAAAUCAGGAUUCCGUUCUGUUUCAGGAUGGGGAGGUUUUGGCCUGAGGCACAGAGGCGAGACUGGUAGAGAGUCCCAUCCAGCUGAAACUCAAGGGAGAAAGCAAGAGAAGACGAGGCUUGCCGGGAAAGCAUCUUAGUUGGGCUUCUGUUGCUGUGACGAAACACUAAGACCAAAAGCAACUUGGGGAGGAAGGGUUUUCUUUCAGUUUGCCAUUCUACAGUGCAACCAUCAUCUAGGGAGCUGGAGCACAAACCUGGAGACAACAGGAUCUGAGGUAGAAACCAGAGAGGAGUGUUAUUUGCUAUCUUGUGCUUCAUGGUUCUCUCAGCCUGCUUCCUCAUAGCUCUCACGACCACCCACCAGCCCAGGGCAAGCACUGCCUACAGUGAGCUGAGCCCACCAGACACCAAUCAAGAAAUGCCUCAGGAGCUUGCCAACAGAGAACACACAGAACCAAAGACCAUCAGAUCAACCAGUCGGCCAAGCAGAAGAUAUAGCAGCAGAUGGGAAGGAGUCAUCUUCUUAGGAAACUCCCUGCAACACCAGAGAGCUGCUCGGUUGAGAUGCUCACAAGGAAGAGCUGAAGCAAGUCUAGGCUGGGGAUCACCUGGGAGGAUGUGGAAGACAGCUAAGAUGGCACAAGUGCUUCCUGUAAGCUGGUCACUCUUCAGGAAUGAUCAAUAGACGUGAAACUGUUAUUGGAGGAGAAAGAUCAAUGAUGGCUGAGUAUGAAUGACAAUAUCCCUGGUACUCUGUCUCUUAACUGUCAUUUUCUAUUUUCUUUUUAAAAACAAAGUUAACUCAUUCCUAGAGUUUAAAUUCCAGAAUAAAUAUAGACUUGUGAUUCAUUUUGCUUUGUAACUCUCUUGGGAUAAAAUAUCAAGACUAUCAAAGCCACUUGUCUUCAUGGUGUUGUUACCCAUUCAGUCAAGGCUGGGGAAGACCUGUGUAUGCAUAGGACUAUGCUGGGGACUGGCCCUCUGUGGGUUUGCAGCUGAGGAGAGAUAGGAAUGACACACAGAUGUCAUAUUGGUCUGUCCUGAAGCUAUCAGAAGGUCUCAACUCAAUGCAAAGACCUUCUGUUGUAGGAAUUAGAGGAAGAAGAUAUUUAGUACUGUUGAGUGGCAAGAGGGAAAAGAGAGCCUUUUAAAUGAGAGAGUCCUCAUGGGGGCGGGGGGAGGCUUUCUCAGGAGCUGUUUUACUCAACUAAAUAAAAGCCCAGGGAAGUUUACUAGCAGAUCCUAGAUAGAUGGGCAAGCUGGAGUCAGAUUGUGGAGAGUUUCAGUGUUUGGCUAAGUGACUGGUAUUGGGAGGCUAAUGAAGGACCAGCUGAAGGCAUCUGCAAGUAUGGCUGUGCCUCAGAGCGAUAAAUCCAGCUGCUGUAUAGGGUGGACUCAAGUGGAGAAAUGGGACAGCGAGAGACACACAUCAAGUGUGAGGCUAUUGUAAUAGACCAGAUAAAAGAUCAGAUAUCCCUGAGCUAACAAAGGUGACACAGGCUGUGAGCUAUUCCAAAUCAAAACCAGCAGAUUCUUGGAGACUGUGGGAUUUGAGGAAGAAUGAAGUGGAAUGCAAGACGAAGGACUCAUGUUUAAAAGAAGAUGCAGAAAUGCCAUCUUGGAGUGUAUGUAGUUCUAGUGAUUGAAU